AAGUCGUAACAAGGUUUCCGUAGGUGAACCUGCGGAAGGAUCAUUAGCGAAGCAGAAUAGCGCACCGCAAGGUCGCAUUAUUCUCCUAACACCAUGUGAACUUGGAAAGCCGGGCUUCGGCCCGGUCUACAACAAACCGUUGACAAAUGCAUAACUAACUAUGAAUUGACAACCAAACACACAACUUUUAACAAUGGAUCUCUAGGCUCCU
rnacentral:misc_RNA from 1 species